rnacentral:rRNA from 1 species
GACGAACGCUGGCGGCGUGCUUAACACAUGCAAGUCGAGCGGACGGGCCCUGCUUUUGUGGGGUUCUCGAUUGGCGAACGGGUGAGUAUCACGUGAGUAACCUGCCCUUGACUUUGUGAUAACAUCAGGGAACUGGGGCUCAUACCGGAUAGGAUCUCCUGCUGCAUGGUGUGGGUUGGUGAGAUUCGGCGGUGCUGGAUCGACUCGCGGCUUAUCAGCUGGUUUGUGUGGUAGUUGCUUACCAAGGCUUUGACGGGUAGCCGGCCUGAGAGAGUUAACAGCGACAUUGGGACUGAGAUACGGACCAGACUCCUACGGGAGGCAGCAGGGGGGAAUAUUGCACAACGGGGGGAAGUCUGAGGCAGCAACGCCGCGUGCGGGAUGACGGCCUUCGGGUGGUAAACCGAUUUCGCCUGUGACGAAGCGAGAGUGACGGUAAUGGGUAAAGAAGCACCGGCUAACUACGUG